rnacentral:rRNA from 1 species
AUUGAACGCUGGCGGCAGGCCUAACACAUGCAAGUCGAACGAGUGGCGGACGGGUGAGCCAUGGCUGGGAAACUGCCUGAUGGAGGGGGAUAACGACUGGAAACGGUAGCUAAUACCGCAUACCAUCGGAUGUGCCCAGAUUGGAUUAGCUAGUCGGUGGGGUAAAGGCUCACCAAGGCGACGAGCCCUAGCUGGUCUGAGAGGAUGACCGGCCACACUGGAACUGAGACACGGUCCAGACGCCUACGGGAGGCAGAAGUGGGGAAUCUUGCACAAUGGGCGAAAGCCUGAUGGAGCCAUGCCGCGUGAAUGAAGAAGGCCUUCGGGUUGUAAAGUACUGUCAGCAGGGAGGCGUUACCCGCAGAAGAAGCCCCGGCUAACUCCGUGCCAGCAGCCGCGGUAAUUC